CAGGGGCGCAUUGUGAAUGAUGCUGAGAUGUGCGUAAGCCGGUCCCUCAUGACCUGAUCUGGGUAGUGCCAGCGUAGGGAGUCUGUUGUUUUU
rnacentral:ncRNA from 1 species